CAGAGUAUAGUUUAACUAAAAUAUUAGCUUUGGGAGUUAAUGAUAAGAAAAUUCUUUUUCUCUGA
rnacentral:tRNA from 1 species